UGACCCGCAAAUGUCUUAAAAUAUUACAUACCCUUGUGGCUGGGGGAAUCGUCCGUAACCCCAAUCCGCCUCCUCCUUUCUCCCCACCCACUUUCCAUCUCCCCCAACCAGAGAGGGCGCUGGUCUGUUGGGGAGGGGCCAGCUCCAGGAUCACUAGUUCCCUGGAAAUGUGAAGAGGGGUCUGUGGCUGCCCUUUCAGACCAGGGGGGUUCAUUCCUCCCGGAGUGAAGUUGUAACUGGUCUGGUCUUGGCCACUCUGCCGAACUGGCAUUUGCUAUGGAGCCAAGUGAUGAUGUCGCAGUCCCUGGGCAGCCUAUAAUGCUGGGCUGCAGGGUGGAGGGGACCCCUCCAGUGAGAAUCACCUGGAGAAAAAAUGGGGUAGAGUUGCUGGAGAGUACCCACUCCACCUUGCUGGCCAAUGGGUCCCUGAUGAUCCAUCACUUCCAGCUGGAUCGGGGAGGCAGCCCCUCGGAUGAGGGUGACUAUGAGUGUGUGGCUCAGAACCGCUUUGGGCUGGUGGUCAGCCGGAAGGCUCGAAUCCAGGCUGCAAAAGGCUGAUUCAGGCCCGCAUAUGGAGCUCUCUGGGAGGCAGCCCUGGACCUGGAGACCGAAUCACUUCUGGCUCAGCGACCCCUCAACCCCAGCCCUCGGGGUGUGAGGAAGAGAAGCCUGGACGUGGACGCAGGGUGGGGCCCCCGGGAAGAUUUGCCGAGGAGAGAAAGGAGAUUUCUCGGGGAGAGGACCCUCACACUCUCCCCGGCUUGUGUCAACACUGGCCCCUGCAUCGCCAGCCUAGAAUUCUGGGAGAUAAAUCCCAGGUGUUUAUAUAUAGCUAAUUGUAAAUGUGCUUUUCUAUAAAUGGUAAUACCUUCAA